AGGAUCAUUGUCGAAAUCUGCAAAGCAGAAUGACUUGCGAACAAGUGCAAACCAUGGUUGAAAGGCACCACGGUCGCCUUUCCAACCGAUCAUUGGAGGCGGUUCCCGUCCCUCCCAUAUGGUCAAAAUCAACAAAUACCUCAGCGCGGAAUGCGCCAAGGAAAACAAACAUAAGGGGUACGCCUACGCCUCUUGCACCGUAAAUGGUUGUGUGGUGUGGCUUGCGUAUUUCGCUUAAUCUAAUGUUACAACGACUCUCGGCAACGGAUAUCUUGGCUCUCGCAUCGAUGAAGAACGUAGCAAAAUGCGAUAGCUGGUGUGAAUUGCAGAAUCCCGUGAACCAUCGAGUCUUUGAACGCAAGUUGCGCCUGAAGCCGUCAGGCCAAGGGCACGCCUGCCUGGGUGUCACCCUCCCCAUUGCCCAAGUAACACGCCUCCUCCCACCGAAAAUUGGGAAGGGGGUGCGAUGGGCGGAUAAAUGGCCUCCCAUGGUGCGUAAUUCGUGGUUGGCCCAAAAUUAGCACUUUGGCUUAGGACGCCACGACAUGCAUUGGUGAAAAACUCCGGUGAUUCCUUGUUGUCGUGCUAGACUUUGUAGCGUGCUAUAAAAUACCCUCGGUGCUUGCAUUCUAAGAUUUGCGACCCCAG
rnacentral:rRNA from 2 species